rnacentral:lncRNA from 1 species
ACAUUGAAGCUAUGCUGAGUUUAACAUGGGUUUCAGUACUUUAAGUCUUCUGACAAUUUUUCUUUUUUUACCCAUCCUGACAGAUUAUGUGAUCACAGCCACGAAUAUUCGGGAGAAAUGUGAGUGCAUCAACGUGACCAACAAUGUGAGAUGGAGAGCAGUCAAAGGCUUUGAAGUGAAAGAGCCGGAGGCUCUUUGCAAUAAGGUUCAAAUAAUCAUGAGGGUGGGAAAGAAAUUGUCCUGCCUGAAUCCAGAAUCCAACCAAGGAAAAAGACUGCUCAAAUGUUGGAAGGGGAUAGGAUUUAACGAAAAGAAGAAGAAGGCCUGCUUCACACCCAAAAAAUCCAAAACUAAAAAGAAGACAAAGAAGAAGAGGCAGUAACUGUUUGGAGCCUAUAGAACAUACGCCCUAAUAAAAGGGCCAUGCUCAUAAAGAUAUAAUAAGCAAGCUAUUUGAUAUUUUAUACACUGUUUAAAGGUUCUAUAUAUAACUAUUACUCUAUAUAUAACUAUUACUUUGCUUAGUUAAAAAUGUGUCACAUGUCACAAAACCCUUUUUGCUUUGAAUGUAUAAUGAAAGUACUGGCACCUUUUCUGUGACUAAUAAUAUUAUACUGUUAUUUUCUUACACUGUUUAAACACAAGCUUUUGUAUUUGAUGUUUGUUUUUUUAUACAUAAUCAAAUGAAUGUAAAUUGAACGUGAACAAUUACUUCAAA